rnacentral:tRNA from 1 species
GGGGAUGUAACUUAGUGGGUAGAGCACUUGCUUGUCAUGUGUGAGACCCUGGGUUUUAUCCCCAGUACCACCA